rnacentral:lncRNA from 1 species
CUAUGUCUGCGACUGAGAUCUUCGUAGAGCUGCAGGGCUUUUGUCUGCCUAGGAGGACAUCAGCGAGGAAAUCCAAAAAGUUGUAGAGUUUACAACAAACAGCUUAAGAGAUUGUUAACUCUACCACAACGUGUCCGUCAGGGUGCUGGGUUUCAGGGCAUUCCAAAGAGGUGUUUGAAAGCUUAGGAACAUUUUGGUACAGUAAAAACACACCCAACACCUCUGAAGAGCAAGUUGCCUGCUGAACCGUGUGCCACGAGGUUCAUGAGCACUGGAGGUUUGUGUUGCCGCAUACGGUUGUCUUCCCAGAACUUGUUGCGUGUUUGGAAACAGAAACUCCAGAAGCCAUUACAGAAAUUCGUGUCAUUGAGCCAGAUAAGGAGAAACGAUUUCAUGUGGAUGUGGAAGAUCCUCUCUCAGGAGUUCAAUUCUUGCUAGUGAGCUGCUGAGGUUGUCCCUCAGUGGCAUGAGUGCUGGAGACAACUCCCAGCCCCUCCAUGUCGCCACCUUUAACAAUGAGUGGCAUCCCAAUUUCCACCUUCUCAGCCUAAAACACUAUUCUUCUCUAAGGAAGCCUUAUGAUGGCUUGUGGUAGGACGUGAAGAAAACAGAAGAGGUAUUCUAUAUUCUCUCCAUCCAAGGCUUCAAUAAAGAGAUAGAAGCCGCUUGUACUGAA